CAUAUCAUCACGAUUCAAAAUUAAAUUUUCGCGAUUAAAUAUUGAUAUAUAUUAAUUUCAAAAUCAUUUCUCUUGAUUCCUUAUAAUUUCUUUAACAAUCUGUCUAUACUAUAUCCUAUUUUUUUCAUGAUUUAUGAGCAUAAACGAAUAAUUCUCCAACCCCAAAGAGACAAAGUUCUUCUAAAAAGCAGUGGAGGAUGAUCAAAAUCCGCCGUGGCAAUAAAAUUUAUCACCGAACUGUAUAUUCCUUCGUUCCUCUUAAAAUUGCCCCUGUUCCCGAGCUCGAAGAAAAGACGAAAUCGAAGAGAGGCGAGGAGGGGGAGGGGUGUGAAAAAAUAAUAGGGGGAUGACAUCGGCGCGUACAGAGCCGAUAAAAAUCGUUGACAACGGCCGCGCCGUAAAUUUCUCGGGGGGAGGAGAGGGGAAGGAGGGGGAGGGGAGGGGAAGGAGAAAGAAUUAUUGCUGCCGGAUAAAGGCAAGGAAACAACGACGAUCCUGACCAAAAGUGCAUGCAGCGCACGUGGAGGCAACCCCAACUCGCGGGGAGAUGUGGCGUUACUGACAUUAACUUACGCUACUUUUGCUCUUCGUUCUUCGUUUCUUCUCCGGGCGUGACUCAACGAAAGGGUAAAAAAAGAAAAAAGAAGAAGAGAAAAAGAAUAAAAAGGAAAAAAAAAGUCAGAUGGAAAAGCGGUGACAAAGGAAAGUACGAGUUGCGACUCAAUCCGUGUAUUGUUUGAGAUUUUUAAACUUCUUCAUCUUUCUCUUUGAUGAUCUCUUUGAUCUUUGUCGAUUGUUGCUGAAUUAGAGGAACGUAUGGAUAAAUUCGAGAUUUAUUACAUGUCGUAGAAGGAUCUGACAGAAGUAUAAGUUUGAAUUUGUAUCAUUAUUAUCAUUAAUUUCUCUUUAGAGAAAGGGUUCCAUCCAUCUCUUAAUUUAUCUUAAUAAAAGUUCUUCUACUUUCGAACGAUGUAUAAAAAUUGUAAAGUGUUAAGUGUUGGAAAAGAAGAAUCAUGAGAUAUUAAAAGAUAUUAAAAAUUCUUUCUGGAUUAAUGAUGGAUUUACUUACAUAACGCAGGGGUGAUUCACACGGUGGAUCGAGAGAAUACAGUGGUACGAUAGUAGGGUCGUAUUCCAAGUAUGAGGGCGUCGUUAAUCAGACGUGACGCAUCUUCCAGAAAUCCGUGCAAUUGGAAAACUAAAAUCGUAUAGGAACAAGACGGAUAGCGGUCUGGCCGAGUGUCGCCUACUCAUCUCUCAAGCAGGAAGCGGACGAACUCCGUCAAAAUAGCUGCGAACCCAUUACCAUUCAUUAGCACGAAUUUCUAUUCCCUUCUAGAAAACCCUUUCCAUUAAUUCUAAUAUUGUCUAACUCUAAAAGAUCUCGAUAUUAUCUCGUAACUGAGAUGAUUUCCAAAAGAUCUAACAUUCGAAGCUCUAACUUUUAGUUAAAAUUCCGAUAAAAUAUCCUUUCCGUUUAUUAUUCCAAACUUUUGCAUAUUAUCUUAUCAAUUGUGAAAAAGAUAAAUUUAAAAUUAAUCGAAUUGUAAUUAUUCAUGAAAAUUGAAACAACGAGGCACUUAUAAAAAAAAUAUAGAUCAGUCUAUAAUUAUAGAAGAUGAAUCAAUAAGAAGCUAAUUCUAUUCUGUUCGAUUCUAGGAAAUUUAUUCACUAUAAAAAACAAUUCGUUUCCAAAAACAAUUUCUCUCGAGAUCUAAAUUUUAUCCUCCUAUAUUUUAUUUUUAUCAUUUCCUAAACAUCUUUUACAAGAAAUCAAGAAGCUCGUACAAGAAACAUUCUAAUUUAUCCUUAAUUGCACGAUGACACUACGAAACGAAAAAUAUCCGAGCAUUUAUCCCAACUAUUAAUCAAAAUCCCACCUGCUAUAUUUCUUUCCGUUUCAUCGUCCACGUUCUUUUCGAUCGGAAGACUUCACCAGGGUUUCUCGCACCGGAGAUAAAUUGCGGGGUCCCUGCGUUAAAUUAAAAAUCACCGGAGUUUCACAAGGAGGGGGAGGGGCACACAGCCGCGUCUCAUUAAAUUUAUACACACGGCGUUUCGCAUUCUUGCUCGGCUUACGUAGCGUCCAAUUAAACGUUUGAUAUAGGGUGGGCCCCUGUGUUUUGACUUUUCGCGCGACACUCGCGCCACCGGCAAAAAUAAUCCGCUCCCGAAGGGGGAAGAGAAAAUUCGCGAGAUGAGGUCCACGGAACUGGAUUCUUCGUCGCGCAGAAAAGGGGGAGAAUUAAGGGGAGAGGAGAGAUAAGUCUGGACGCCAAGGCCACCUCCCCCUCCUUUUUUUUUUUUUUUUUCGUCGUCAGAGGAAAGUCUUGACAAAGUCGUUACGCGUCCUUCUUCCUUGAUUGUUUUAUCACUGGCUGCGAUUAAGCCGCCCUCAGACGCAUCGCGGUCUCCUACUUAUCAUUCCAGUUCGCCACUCUCGUUUUACCGUUGAAUUUUGGGCGAUUAAUUUAGGUUGGAAAGUGUCGUGUGUUGUGUUGCAUUCGGACGAGUUUAUGGGGGUGGAUCAAGCUUGUUUUACUUGGGCGAAAAUAAUAAUGUGAUCUCGUAUGACGGUGAUAUGGUGUUUUGUUUCUCUUUUUCAAUUUAUUGCCACAGUAAGAAUAUCCUUGCCUCGAAGUUAAGAAUUUAUGAAAAGGGAUUAAUUAUAUAGUUUAGAAUUACGUUUUUCUUUGCUGGAGGGAGGAGGGAAAUUUGUAGACAUAUUGUUAUUUUAAUCUCGUUUCUAAUUAUUCUUAUAUCUGAAGAAGUUGAUUAAUUAAUUAUUCUAUUAAGUUGUCAUUUUUAUAUCAAUUAUAUUAUUGUAUCUUUAUGGAAGAGAUUAAGACAAUUUCUACAACUACUUAAUAAUUAUAAGACAUAUUUUUAUAAUCGUAGAAUAAACUACUUGAUCUUAAGAUCUCGAAUUACCAACUUCCCGCAUUUCUCUUCUUUCCUCGUUUCGCACAAGUCGCUUAUUAUUGUUACUUAGGACAAGAAUUACGCUUGUUUGUCCCAGUAAAACAUUUGCACCGAUGUUUGCGAAUUUGUUGGAGGAUUUAAAAGCGACACCCGUUUAAUACUGUUGAUUUAGAGGAGGGAAUCGAGGAUGAGAGGCGAUCCGAUGCGCAAAAUUUUUGGCGUAAAGUACGGUGGAUCAUUAGAGAUCCUCUCCUCUGGACGUAAAGUGACUGUUUUGCAUCGUUACAGGCGUUCGUUCUGUCAAAUUAAUUCGUCGCGAUUCUUCUUUUUUUUUUUUUUUCGGCUCUGUUUCUUUCGUGUUUUUAGCAUCGCUCAAGAUCCACGAGAUUCACGCGCAUAAAUGUCAGACCCUCUUAAACGCUCUCCCCAUCGAUUCAAUUUUUCCUCUGGAUAAUGACCCUCGAGGCGCAUUUUUUCUUUCCAAUCAAUGAAGAUCGCGUUAUAUUUUAUCGUGGCUACUUUGUGACUCGUUCCUCUUCUUCUUUUUUUUCUAUUGUAAUUUUAUUUAUAAAAUUUUCCAAACGAAAAUUAAUUUUGCAAUCGAUAAAGAUCGAAGAGAAGGAAGAGGAAUAUUGAGAGGAAGAAGGAUUAGAUAAGGGUUAGAAUUUAUAACAAUUUGCAUGGAAUAUUUUGUUCAUUUUUUCUUUUUUAUCGCGUCUUCCUUUUUCUUUUAUGAAAAUAAAAAUUUGAAAUUGUGCUAUUCAGUUUUUGGAUGCUGAUUUCCCAGUUAUCGUUAGUUUUAGAUUACAUUAACUCGUCGGGACGUUUUUGUGGAAAGCAAUGUUAGAUAUUCUUGGCACGUACUGUCCUUAUUGAGUCAACGAACUGAAAUGAUUCCUAGAAUAUUACGUUGCACUUGUUGAUAGAUAAUCGUCAAAAUCGCGUUUCAAGUAAUACAAGUUCAAAAUACGUAUUUACAAUUUACAUAAUACAGCACAAAAUGAUCCAAAUAUAAUAACACACAACUUUUAAACUUAUUAUUUACAUAACUGUGUCUAGAAUCUAUUGUUAGAAUUUCCAAAAUAUCCCCAGUAGCAUGUAUUCCGAGUAAACGACGAAUUUAAUUUUCCAGAACAAGAUUCUCGUUUCUCGCAUUUCGUACGGUUACAAUUAUAACUCGUAUUACUUUCUCUUCAACGCCCUAAGAUCUAUUUAACGUGCCUCUCUCGGUAUCCAAAAUAUAAUCCCCCAAGGAUACCUUCCGAGUAGUUACUCUUCGGCAAAAAAACAAAGAACUUCGUUCGUUCCAGGACGAAAAUUCUCGAUGUUUUCCACCGUGACCAUUAGCACGAACGUUCACCGUUUCGAGCGAACAUAUUCUCGAGUUUCCCGCGACUAGAAGAGAACUGAUUCAGAUUCUUUGUUCGGGGAAGCGGCCGGUUAGGUGCGAAUAUACCGAUAUAAACCUGUUCACAAUCCCUGGAACACGGGUUCGACGUGGCUGUUUGUCGGAAUUUUUGGAUAUUCGAGGAAACCUCCAUCAUAGAAUCGAACACGAUGGAGAUACAUCGGUUUCGAAUCGAUCAUCCAUCUCUGGUGAACGAACCACGAUAAAGGAAUUAAAUCUCGAGGAGGUUUUAGGGUUGUUGCACCGCGAGAGAGAGAGAACAAUGAUCGAAUGAUCGCGCGGAGAAAUACGUUUUAGAGAAAACGUGAGGGAUCAAUCUUUCGAACGUGUCUCGUUCGAAUUGUUGAACGGUGGCGGCGUUCUUAAUUUUAGAAGCGAGAUUCCGUGAAUUUCGAAUGUCUUUGAAGAUGUAACUCAAGUCAAUUUGUCCGUUUUAUAAAGUGUGGAUGUUGGAGUAUCCCGUAAACUUGGAUAUUAAUUCGUUCGAUUCUAAGUAUUUGUAUGUACAAAUAUUUUGUAUUUUGGUAUUUGGUCAAUAUUUUUCUUACUCCAGGAAAAUAAAUUUCGGAAAGAUUUCUUCUCGUUUCUCGGAACAAGUUUCAGUUUCUUCUUCUUCUUUGAUUAUUGAGUUAAUUCAACUUCAUUUUACGAAUCUUAUGCCCGUGGUAUUAUCUUUUGUGCAAAUUUCUGUAAGAACAAAGACGGAGAUUUUUUUAGUUUUAAGGAAUUUCUCCUCUCGUUUCUUCUAGGAAGAGAGAAAACAUUACGUUUUCAAAACAUUUUUCAAACACGAUUGUUAUAAAUAGAAUCUCAGUGACUUUUCUUUUCAUUUAAUAAUCCAUUAUAACAUUAAACGUCUGUACAAAUCGAGCCCAUCUCUUUCGAUUUAUCAAAAUCCCUACUUCCUCCAUCCUUGCUCUUCAAAAAUUAUCAACAAAUCAACAAAUUAACCAUCCACGACAACUUCCUCGAUUAACCUCGAUCCGUUUCCUCGCGAAGCCGUGCGAUUUUUCAAUUUAAUUAGGCGUGCGUCUGUCGACAAAUCGACCAAGAUCGCGUUACACCGAAAUUCUACUGCCAAAAUUCUCGUUAACUACCCGCCACUCGACUCGACACAUAACUUGAAACUCUUCCCUUGUCUUUCCUUCCCCACGAAAAAGAAGAAGAAGAAGAAGAAGAAGAAGAAGAGAAAUAAAAAAGAAAUGAUUAGACAUACGUUUCGUUAUUUGUAUUAGCAGCAAUGAUAUUUUCCGAUUCGAUCCUUCGCCGACAUGUUCACGCUUCGCGCUUCGUGUUAUGUCGUGCAUAACAACGCCUGCCAAGAAGACAGGCUAACCAGUGGUGCCAGUUUACACGAGAUAACGCGUAGCGGGCGUACCAACGAUUAUAGAACGCUAUUUCUAUAUUCUCAUUAUAAUUAGACUGUUUCUAAAUAUGGACGUUUAAAUGCGAGUAAAACGUGUAAACGCGGGUAUCCGCGCGAUAAGUGAAAUUUACUCGUUUAUGGUUAAUGAUAGUUGGGGAUUGGUGGUGGGGAUGGAUGUGGGCAGAAGAAUUUCUCUUUUUAUUCGAAAAAUGCGUUAUUCGAAAAGAUGAGGAAAUUUGAAUUUAGAGAAUGAAAUUUAUUCUUUCGUCUGAAGAUUAUCUAAAGUGUCCGGUUUCUUGAAUAUAAUAGUUGUGUAUACAUGAUGAUAUAUAUUGGUAAUAAUAGAGUAUAAUGGCACGAUGAUAUAAUAUCAUGGAAUAAUACAAAGUCGUAGAAUAUAUUUGCAAUCCGUAGGUGAAUUCGAUGAUUAGAAGAAUUUGAUAUCGAAGAAUCGUUUUUUGUACAAUUUUUAAUCAAGAUAUCGAUCGAAUUGCGAUUAAAUUUUACUUUUAAGACAUAUAAUUUUGUGUUGAACCGUUGCAUUGGAAGAUAGGAAUGAUUCUCUGUCUAUUUUUACACGUUACGUUAUGCGGUAGAACGUAUAGAAUGAUAAGAAUCUCAAAGGCUUAUAUGUAUCGUUUUCAUCGAUAAACAAAUAUUUAUUAUUAAUCAUCACGUGUGUUGAAAUUAUACAUAAUACUUGUUGCAUUUUAAUAGCGCCAUUUAUUACACUUCGAAAUAAUUUUGCCUGACGAAUAUAACGAAUCAUUAGAAAAAUUAGAUAUAUUCGAUUACAUUAAAUGAUUUCCUUCGCGAAAGAGAUCAACGUUUCUAAAGAAAAGGAAAAAUAGUUUCAUUGGUCGUAACAUUACGAAUAAAACUAUCCCGAAAAUCAGUUUGCAGUAUAGUUUGCAGAAUCAAGCGGCCAUCGUCACGUUGACAAUCAUCACGUUUCGUCGCGUGAAUUCGAGGCCUGCCAAGAAAUUCGAUGACACAGUAUCGGUACUGGGAUUCGAACAGUGACUCGUUACCGAGCAACAUGUAGGUCGUUAAUUUUAUUUCCAAUCAACUACCGCGUUGGUCGAAACAAUUGAUUCAGAACGAUCAAUAAAACAAUUGUAUAUUGCAUAAAAAGAAAACACGCUUUCUGCCUACUGCGUACGUUUCGAGUAUAUACUAGGUGACACAUAGUUUUAUGUACACGACACCGUGCAUGCGAUAUUGAGUCAUUGAGGUGGAGAUGGAAUUUUUGAAAGAGAAUUACUUGUCAUUAUUCAGCGUGGAUAAUGAAAAAUCAAUUAUCUGUAAAUAUUUUAAGACAGGUAUUAAAUAUUUAUUAUUUUUGUG
rnacentral:lncRNA from 1 species